GGAAUCUAACAUCCCCGGUUUGCUUCUUAGAUUAGAAGUUUGAUCCUGGCUCAGAUUGAACGCUGGCGGCAUGCCUUACACAUGCAAGUCGAACGGCAGCACGGGUGCUUGCACCUGGUGGCGAGUGGCGAACGGGUGAGUAAUACAUCGGAACAUGUCCUGUAGUGGGGGAUAGCCCGGCGAAAGCCGGAUUAAUACCGCAUACGAUCUACGGAUGAAAGCGGGGGACCUUCGGGCCUCGCGCUAUAGGGUUGGCCGAUGGCUGAUUAGCUGGUUGGUGGGGUAAAGGCCUACCAAGGCGACGAUCAGUAGCUGGUCUGAGAGGACGACCAGCCACACUGGGACUGAGACACGGCCCAGACUCCUACGGGAGGCAGCAGUGGGGAAUUUUGGACAAUGGGCGAAAGCCUGAUCCAGCAAUGCCGCGUGUGUGAAGAAGGCCUUCGGGUUGUAAAGCACUUUUGUCCGGAAAGAAAUCCUUGGUUCUAAUAUAGCCGGGGGAUGACGGUACCGGAAGAAUAAGCACCGGCUAACUACGUGCCAGCAGCCGCGGUAAUACGUAGGGUGCAAGCGUUAAUCGGAAUUACUGGGCGUAAAGCGUGCGCAGGCGGUUUGCUAAGACCGAUGUGAAAUCCCCGGGCUCAACCUGGGAACUGCAUUGGUGACUGGCAGGCUAGAGUAUGGCAGAGGGGGGUAGAAUUCCACGUGUAGCAGUGAAAUGCGUAGAGAUGUGGAGGAAUACCGAUGGCGAAGGCAGCCCCCUGGGCCAAUACUGACGCUCAUGCACGAAAGCGUGGGGAGCAAACAGGAUUAGAUACCCUGGUAGUCCACGCCCUAAACGAUGUCAACUAGUUGUUGGGGAUUCAUUUCCUUAGUAACGUAGCUAACGCGUGAAGUUGACCGCCUGGGGGAGUACGGUCGCAAGAUUAAAACUCAAGGGAAUUGACGGGGGACCCGCACAAGCGGGUGGAUGAUGUGGGAUUAAUUUCGAUGCCAACGCGAAAACCCUUUACCCUACCCUUUGACAUGGUCCGGAAUUCCUGCCUGGAGAGGUGGGGGAGUUGCUCGAAAGAAGACCGGGCGCCACAUGUGACUUGCAUUGACUGUCGUCAGCUCGUGGUCAGGAAGAUGUUAGGUUAAGUUCCGCCAACGAGCGCAUCCUUUGUCCUUAGUUGGCUUACGCAAAGCACUUCUAAGGUACCAUGCCCGUGUGUAACAUACCCCGGUAGUGAUAGGU
rnacentral:rRNA from 1 species